GCCCUUCCUACGGGAGGCAGCAGUGGGGAAUUUUGGACAAUGGGGGCAACCCUGAUCCAGCAAUGCCGCGUGCAGGAAGAAGGCCUUCGGGUUGUAAACUGCUUUUGUACGGAACGAAACGGCUCUGGUUAAUACCCGGGGCUAAUGACGGUACCGUAAGAAUAAGCACCGGCU
rnacentral:rRNA from 1 species